GAUUGGUGCCGGAGCACCAGUAUACCUAACAGCGAUUAUAGAGUUUCGGCCGUCGGAGUGCUCGAGUUGGCUUGCAAAGCUGCUCACGACAAUCAGAAAACCCGCAUCAAGAACAGAGCAGCUUCGGUUCGGCGCUCAUCAAGGCAACAAUUAGUUUCAGUGAGUCGCAAAGUGUUUCUCCGGCACGACGCAUUAAAUGUAAUUUACUGAACAACAUAUCACAAGCUGGAUGGGAAGAAAUUUUCCAACUGUGAAAGCUGUGGCGAGUGGCAAACGCAAUAGCUAAACAGGAAGGUUUAACCGAACAAGAUGGGAAUAUCGAGUGAUAACAAAAACACAAUACCAAAGGUUCUUUUCAGAACCAUCAACAUAUUCAUAAAGAGUAAACAGUAAACUAAUCCAUUUUUCAGGUAGAUAGUAGGAGAAGAAAAUAAAACAAUAUAUUUAAAAUAUAUAUUUAACAAAAGCUGUCCCCUUUGUAUAGUCCUACGUCACUCCGGUUAUGUCCCCGACAUUACCCACCCGUCUUUUUUAUAAUCACUAGAACUGAUUUCACUUGAUCCAUAUAAUGUUGAUCAUGUCGUAUUAUCUUUUUUUUUUUUUUAUUCUUUAUUUGAGAGGUUUUCAGCCUCCUGGGCUGGUUCGCCUGUGUCGUAUUAUCAGUCUGGAGAAUAGAGCAGUCUUCUAUAACGACACAGUUUUCUUCCCGUUUUAUAUUCCAAACGUUUUUAAAAUAUUUCGAAUGGAAUGUUUUCGUGAUUAACUAUAUUAUAUUAGUCAAAUCAUUUCAUUCGAUACCCAUACUCGGGUUAAAUUUAUCUUAAAUAACUGUGAUUUUCAAAAAUUUUCAGAAGAAAUGUCUGCCAUUUCGUAACGGUCGCCAUUUUGGAUUUACAUUUUUCAUGAAUAACUGUGUUCUACUAGUCAAGUUCUUUCAUUUGAUACCCAUAUUCAUGAGGUUUUGGCAAAAUAUGUAGUCUGUCAUUUUAUAACGGCCGCCAUCUUGGAUUUCCAUUUUACAUGAAUAACUGUGUCCUACUAGUCAUGUUCUUUCAUUGGAUACCCAUACUUGUGGGGUUUCGACCGGCUCAAAUGAGCGGCUCGUGAGCGCUCACCCAUCUCUAGGCCAGACCGAUCAAGGCUACGAUAGAUAGAUUUCCUUAUUGAAUCGAUUAUGGACUAAUGGUUGGAACAUUUUGAAAUAAUCGAUUCAAUCGAGUAACUUUCGUGUAACUUCUGAAAAAGACCUAAUUGCGUUGAUCGAUUAUCUCCAUCAACAUUAUUUUUCGUUGAUAACUCAGCGGUAAAAACACUUCCUGAUGUGUUCGACGACCAGGAGUGUAGAAGAGUACCUCGUUUAUCAAUCCAUGUGAUAAAACUGGCGCAAAAUCUGCCUGCCUGCCUGCAAGAGAAUGUCAAUGAAGAGAAUAAAUUAAAGCAAGUAGGUCCUUUCCAAAUGUUACAUAAAUUCGAAAGUUACAUUUAAUAUACCUUUAAAUGUAAACAUCGAAUUGCAAAAUAAUAGUUUUUGAAUGAAUUGGUACUUCAGCAUGUUGAUAAACUUACCAUUUCAUGAUUUUUGCUGAUGUUUGAAAAAAGCACAUUAUGAAAACAUCUUAUAGCAGCAAACAGGAAACAGUCCAUGUAAAAUUUCGUUAGUGGAAUAUUGAAGUUUUUAAUCGGAAAAUUCUAUGAAAUUGCCGUUGUUCAGUGUAUUCUGUGGGACGGUAGGUGGUUGUGUUGCUCUUAAACCGACACUUUCAGCCAGGGUGAAACCGAUACCUGGUUCGUGUUUCACUGACAGAAAAAGGCGUCAGUGUUUUUUUUUGUAUAUGCCUCGUGUUUAUAUUUGGAAGACAAAACGGCACGGCUGAACUAAUACUCAGCUAAAAACAGCCAAAUCCAAAGUUGAGCAGGGUAUGUCAACAAAAAUGACUACCAGAGCUCAUGGUAUUCUUCGAUCAAAGCUCAUCGGCCACAUCUCCAGUGCAUUCACCCAAACUACGAUCAAGAGUUCCGUAUCCAAACUGGGAUCAUUCAGUGCCUCUUAUCCGAACGGUAUUGCCCAUAUAAUGCUUCCCUACGCACUUAACGAUCCAGUACUUCUCACACUAGGAUUAUACCCCUGCUUGAUCAAAUAUCUACUGGAAUUGAUACAAGCCUUUCAUAUUUUUUGGUAGUCCUAGGCAUUAUAUCAUACGUAAAAGGACGGUCAUCAAAUUUACAUAAUCUAUUACAACGCAUGAAUUUAUCUAACAUGGCAGCUGUUCAGGGAAUAAGUGAUAGUCGCUAGGGGCGAGGUCUGGGGAGUAAGGAGGAUGCUCGAACACAGUCCAUUUGAUUUUUUUCAACUGCUUUUCAGUUACGCGAGCAGAAUGGGGCCGCGCAUUAUCGUGGAUGAGGAACACUCCUUUCGUCGAUAAACCUGGCUUUUUGUUCUUAAUCGGUCCAAAACUUCACAAUAGUACAGUGAUGAAACAGACGUUCGGCGGUGAACGAUUCGAUAACACUGAAGAAAUUUAUGACGCAGUUGCAUCGUACCUCAAAAAGAUGGACACUACGCACUUCGCGCUCGGAAUAGAAAAACUCGUGCCACGCUAUGAAAAAUGCCUCGAACGUUACGGCGAUUAUGUAGAAAAAUAGGAAAUAAAACGUAGAUUACGAAAAUCACCUUGUUUUUUGUCCUAACCUAAUUUUCCGCGAUUUCUGAGGCACUGAAACUCAGUGUUUGCCAAAUGAUCCACUCAUUGAAAAAAUCGCUUUCGUUCGUUCAAAUAUGAUCUUUCAGGAAACAUUUCCCCCAGCGGUAUUCUAUUAUUGUUAUGUGCUGCAAAUCACGACACAAAAGAGAACGAGACAACUCUGCAUCGGCUCGCACUUCAUUGCACACCAGCAUGCAAGCAAAGCUAUCAUAUACGCUUUCGGUGCAGAAAGCUUAUUUUCUUCUUUGCCUCUAACAUAUGCAUACCGACCUCUCCAUGCAUCAUGAAACAGCAGGAUCAUACGGACAACGCAAAGCGAAAGAUUCAUAUUCAGCUAAUGUAGCAGAUCCUGAUUUUUAAGUCUCAGAGAGUGCAAACUAUAUGAUUAUUUAGCUCGAUAGAGGCUAAGGGAAGGGUAGUCAGAUUAUAUUUUCCAUUUUUAACGCCGCUAUCCCUUGAAAUGUUAUAUUCAUAUAGACCGCAUAGUUUUACUAGCAACACCGCUCCAGUGAGAAGCAAAAACUCUCGCGUUUUAUCUCUUUUCCCAUUCGCUGCUCUCCGCAAAUGGUGACGUAAUGAUGACGUAAUUUUUCUUGUAUCAUUUAUUGCUUUACACUUGUCUGUGCAGUGGGUUUCGCUAUAGUAAAAUGAGACGAUAUAUGCGGUUCAAACUUGUAUGCAGGCUUCGAAAAUAGUGUGCCAUGUUUGAUACAACUCGAAUAUGCAAACAACAGUCUUCGUUCCUCUCUUAGUUUAAUCACUAAAUGUUACAAAAGUGAUUGCUGACAUUCAUACAAGUAUCUGAAUGAUCCUCUCAUAUUUGGUUAUAUGUUCGUGAGUUUACUUGCAUGACACAUUGUGUAUCAUUUGAUUUUGAUCGAAAUUCAAACACUGCUUAUUUUUUGAACGACCCCCGUAUGUUAAAUUCAAUUGAUUUCGAAAAUUGUUUCAUGCAAUCAAUAAUUGAAUCAAUACAAACAAAUGUUUACUAAGACAAUGGUAGUCAUUGCGGUUAUAUCAUAGAUAUAACCCACCCAUUUUUUAGAGUUUCAAAAUUCUGUCCUUCUGUGACUUUCCCAGAUUUCUCCAUACUCCAAUUUUGUGCACCGAGCUGAGUUUGAAGAAACACAAUACUCAGACUAAAAUGCAUACUUCGCUGGAAAAAUGAAAUGACCACACGCCUGCAAAUCUGAAACUCAGCUUCCUAAUCCGUGAGGUCAAACAUAAACAAAACACAUUAAUAUGAUAUGUUAUGAUCUUGAUUCUCCAAAAUAAGAACAACGGAUUUCUUCAUCAACAUCGAGUAUUAGUUGUCAUUAUGCUGUCAUCCGUUUUACACGUUCAAUAUCUCUAUCAGUUCAAUGACAUAUAUUUUUGUCAUUCAAAUUCUCACAAUUCAAUACUACCUUUAGUCGUGCUGAGCUAUGUUUUCCCUCUCUCUCUUUGCUUCAUUAACCCCUUCCCGUAUUAUUUAAUACGUCACACAUCAAGUGAUUUCACUACUCUGCUGAGCGUUCUAGCGCCAAUGUUAUUCAAGUAAACCACGAGUGAGACUCGAUGUUGUACGGGAAAGGGUUAAACCAGCCAGUUCAUGUAGAUGAGAACAUCAUGUAGUCGUAGUCAAUAGAACAAAAAUUUAGUUAUCCAGAUAUUGAUGACAAUUUUUAUCAAUAUAUUGAAAGUAUAAGGCGCCCAUUAUAUGUACACUGGAGACAAACAUUAGUAAAUGAAGCUACCAAAUCUUUAGUAGUUGAAACAUUGGUAAAAUGUACAAAUUUUUUGUACAUAUUACCAAAAUCCGGUAAAACUGAUGUCAGAUGUAAUGUACAUCCCUACCAGAGAUUCGUACAUUUUACUUCAUGCCAUUUGUAACCUUCAAUGUUUUCAUUCCUAGCGACUGUGAAGUGCGCACUUCGUAAUCGCCAUUUUGACGUAGGACUACGUCUUUCAUUUCUAUACCGGGGUGUAAAAUCAAAGUUUCGAAAACGAAAGCGUUACGCCGGAGACCGAGAUUUUGAGCGUUAAUAGCUCUUAAACAACUGAACGAAAUGGUAUGAUAAACACUUCAUUCGAAAGAUAAAAUGUCUACGCGUUAUAUACUUGUUACUUUUUCAUCCAAAAACUUGUUUCAAUAGCCGUAAAAUUGCUUUCAAAACAGGCUAUUGAAAUCACCAAACGGUAUAUAAGCGAGCGCCGCUCGUAAACCCACUCAGUUAUAAUUGAACAGCGAUUGGAGCAUGUUGUCGCUGUUGUGGUGAAGCUAAUUUUGUUUAUCAUGAAAGCGCUGAUGAAUGGUGUCACCAAGAGCCUGUUUGUGCACCAUAGACCAAAAGGGAAUCCAUCAAGAGGAGGGUGCCACACACACAUAUACACGCGCGGAACUCUCGUUGCUCAAAAAUAAUCUGCCAGUUCCCCUGGGAAUUGAAAAAUACAUUCAUGCGGAAGAGUUUAUUUUAAUGUUUUCUAACACUGCAACCAAAUACAUUUGGUUUUGUGAUUUUUCAAUCAAUCGCAAUUAACAGGAAAGCUUUUGAAUAUUAUUUUUCCCCAUCAGUAGAAAAUUUUUCGUAUCCAAUAUUGGAUGCAUAACAUGAAAAACGGAAAAUGUUUCACAUCGCGAAAAUCAAGUCAUUUUCGAGCGAUUAUUUGCUUUCUUAUCAUAUAAUCCUGCGACCAAAUACAUUUCGUUUUGGAUUUUUCAAUCAAGUGCGAUCAACGUAAGACCACGUCUUUCGGCAAUUCAUUAGAGGUGCAAUGAAUCUUUAUGAAUUCCCGCUCUACGCGCACUGGCAAACGAUGUUUACUCAACAAUUUCUCAAACGAGAAAUGGGUGUUGUGAGAAAGGAUUAACGAACGCAAAAACGACAAACGGGAGAAAGAGAUGUUUGGAGGUUGAAGGAAAUUGGCAGAAAACUUCUUCAUUUUAGCUUUCGAAUAAUGUGAUUCAUACCACUUCGUUUUGCCAGAAAGAGAUUAUUAGUACUCAAAGGAGGAAUCGAGUCUUCCGAGGAAAUUACCCAGCGCAAACUAGAGUCGACUAUCGAUUGCGGCAUUUGUACACAAAUAAUUUUAUAAUGCAGUUUCAUCAAAGUGAUUUCUUCGAUAUGGGGAUAUAUUCACUACAUCAUGUCAUGUAUUUCAUAUUCUUCACUAUCAAAUCCAUAUUCAUGGCACCUAUCGGUAUCGAAUUAUCAUCGACACCACGAUUUUCGCUAAAUGCUCCUUUCAGUUCGGCCUGUAAAAAACUUUUCUGAACUCUAAUCCAUCAAAUUUGGAGCUCUGAAAAGGGCCGUUUAUUAUAUGCUAAGCUAAUAUAGCACGCUCUCCUCGGAAACGAUGGGCCAGCUGGAUGUCCUUGGGCAUGAUGUGACGCGUUUUGCAUGGAUAGCACACAAAUUGGUAUCUUCGAAUAGGCGCCCUGCAGCGUCAUAGCCGCGGAACUUUGGUCCAAAGUCCUGAAGCAAUUCCACGAACCAAAUGCUGCAAAGGUAGCUUGCGGAUCAGCAAUUCGGUCGACUUCUGAUAGCGACGAAUUUCACGCAAAGUUCCCGGUCGACAGCGAUGUGGCUUCACCUAUCCUGCGGCUGGUGCGCUUAUCCGAGCUGCUUUCGUGUGCCUUACCACCGAAAGACUAACGAGCUGUCUGCUUGGUCCCAAACAAACGAGUCCUCACGGUGCGAGAGUAGAGUAAGAAAUGAACGAAAGCAAAGGAAGCGUCAUUUUAUAAACCAUAAAAGUAUAGAAUGUAAACCCCACCCUUAUUAUAUUCGUUGCUUACCCUGAGAGAGAAACGAAUAACAUCGAAGUAUACAGUAAGCUUAUAUAAUAGAGAGGAUGGGGAGAGAAUGGAUUUAGAUUCAACUUCAAACAAAUGAUCUCUAAAUCAACGAUAGUCCUACGUCACCCUUGCGGUUAUACCACAGAUAUAACCCACUUCCUGUUUUUUUGUGGAAGCGAAGCAAUUCGGAGAUAUUCCGAAAUAUACUCAUUUUGGACGACGUUUCUUCUAUUCUACUACUGAUAGAAGCAUUUCCAUUUGCGAUCAAUCGUAAACGAACAUUUUACAACAGCCAUGAUUCGAUGCUAAUAUUUGGCGAUACAAACUAGGGAAAGGAAGAACCAAUAACGAUUCACCAUCGGUCCGUGCAAACGGUAUCAAAUGAGCGUAUCUUUUCGUCGACCAACGGCAGCGACCAGCGAAUCAACAAGUGCAGCUGAUUCCAGCACGAAUAGCUGUUCUGUUUUUUCACUGGAGCAUCGAAAAUCCCUAUCAGGCUCAGGUACAGGCAAGAAUCAAUGAAGGAGGAGCAAGCUACGCUACCGCAAGUAUAGUCAUUUGCUCAUAAAAUUUACAAGAUGUAUCGAAACUCUCUAGGAAAAGUGUCGUCAUUCGUUUUUUCUAUAAACUGAUAACCUCUGCGUGAUAAUGAUGUGUCAGGAAGAUCCAAUCAACUGCUUUUCUCAACCGGAGGAUGACAUGGAACAUGAAGAACGUCAGAACCGACUACGUGCUCUGUGCAAUCAUCAGGAUCUGUUCCAGGAGGAGAGUGUUGAAUUUGAUACUGGAAAGCAUCGACAAAAUCAAUGUCAUAUCGUCACUAGGUUUCAUGAUUUCCUCCUGGCUAGUGAUGAAAAAGUUGGGAGUCGAUAUCCGGAUAUCUGAUCCAACUACUAGCGGUUGUCAUCAAGGAAAACUCAGUUUGCUAACUCAAAUCAUUUUAAUUGGCUCAUCCCCCAUCUUGGAACGCAAGCAUCUAGUAAGGACUCCGGAUCGAUUUGUAAAUAUCUCGCCUCUCGAGAACCAUAAUCGUGCUCCGAUGAUUUUGUAUGUGUUGUGUUCACUGUGCGUUGGUAAUGGUCAGUAUGGUUGGUUGGUCGGUAAUCCUAAUAUCCUCGUUCAUCGUGUUGAGGAAUCUGGGGUGUACCAGAAGUGUUACUUUGAAAUUACUAUGGACCAUAACGGGCAAACGUGCACAAACAUGACACCGCGUUUGCGAAUUAAUUGGGCCAAUACUGCUGAAUAUGUUGAGGAUGUAAAAAUGGGGCGAAAAUGACGUUGGUAAUAAUUUGCAUACUCAUGAUUCCGGACGUGACAAAACUAUUCAUCGCAAAAGGAAUGGAAUUGCACGCUAGAUCUCAGCGUGUCGGUGAUACGGUUUAUGUUCAAUGGAGAGCCAAUGCAUGUUUGAUUUUAAUCUAACUUGAAUGUUUUUUUUUCCGGUGAUGAGCUGCUCGUCGAAGCUAAGUUGUCAAUUUUAUUUUGGUUUCCGCGUUUCUGUCUGCGAUAUUGAACCCUAAGAUGGAAGAAUUCGGCGAUCUGCUGGUCGAGAGCACUCACAACUUGUGAGACAAAGAGCGAAUUCAACAAAGUUAAACAAAGACAACGAAAACCAUCGUAGCUCACAUUCAGUUCCGUACAGCAUAUACGGCUAUGGCGACUAUCAGAAAGCUGUUGAUCUAUGGAUACAAUUCGGACCAACAAACUGGUGAGACGAAUGAGCCCCUUGCGGCGGAAGCAUUCAGACAGAACUUCGCAACCACCAGAACGCACCUAGCGGAGAAGACGUAUGCUGUUAUGUCAAGACAGACAUACUUUUAGUUUGAGGUACGGACUGUGGGACUGAUGAGGGACUGCAAUUCCGAAACGAUGUUGGGGAAUGAUGAUCCAUCGUGUGCUUUUGAUGGCUACAAUAUAAGCAUGAGCACAAAUAUCGAAUCCGAUUGUUCAAUACGACCAAUCACGACCAUUCAAUCCAAUGUAGUCGUUCUGUUACAUGAAAACAAGCCCCAAAUUCCUACUGAAGACACAUUUCCACUGCCUCACCAAGAGCAAAUCACAUAGAUGGUUGCCGAAAAAUUUCAAAUGUAAGUUUAUAUGAACCCCCUUCUUCGAACUCUGGGGCAUUCCAGAGCGUCACAAUUAAAUGGGCAAGUAAAUUACACCUGCGCAGGGUCGAAGAUUUCGGUAGGCGAUACCUGGUCGGAGACGUAAUCGUUUUCUUCUUAAAUAUCCACGACAAGAUCAACUAUUGAUAUAUAGAAUAAGUUAUUAGUGAAAUAUUAUAUUAAAAUAACAUGUUAUCAAACACAGGAUUUUAAAUAAAACAAAAAGGA